AGGGAUUUAGCUCAGUGGUAUGAGCACAUGCCUGGAAAGUAUAAGGUUGUGAGUUCAAUCCCCACUAAUCAAUA
rnacentral:tRNA from 1 species